rnacentral:rRNA from 1 species
GACGAACGCUGGCGGCGUGCCUAAUACAUGCAAGUCGAACGCAGUGGGGAUGGGUGAGUAACACGUGGGUAACCUCCCAUCAGAGGGGAUAACACUUGGAAACAGGUGCUAAACCGAUACUGAUGGAUGGACCCGCGGUGCAUUAGCUAGUUGGUGAGGAAACGGCUCACCAAGGCCACGAUGCAUAGCCGACCUGGUAGGCGGAUCGGCAACACUGGGAAGAGGACAGGGCCCAGACUCCUACGGGAGGCAGCAGUAGGGAAGCUUGGGCAAUGGACGAAAGUCUGACCGAGCAACGCCGGGGGAGUGAAGAAGGUUUUCGGAUCGUAAAACUCUGUUGUUAGAGAAGCGGUAUCUAACCAGAAAGCCACGGCUAACUACGUGCCAGCAGCCGCGUAAUAC